AUCCUUUUGUAGUGCGUGAGCAUGAUGACUGGGUGUUCACACGCAUGUGUGAGAUGUGCCACCCUCAAACCUUGUUACAAUGUCGGCACAUUACCCAUCUGACC
ensembl:snoRNA